UACGAAGGGGGCUAGCGUUGCUCGGAAUCACUGGGCGUAAAGCGCACGUAGGCGGAUUUUUAAGUCAGGGGUGAAAUCCUGGAGCUCAACUCCAGAACUGCCUUUGAUACUGGGAAUCUCGAGUCCGGGAGAGGUGAGUGGAACUGCGAGUGUAGAGGUGAAAUUCGUAGAUAUUCGCAAGAACACCAGUGGCGAAGGCGGCUCACUGGCCCGGUACUGACGCUGAGGAGCGAAAGCGUGGGGAGCAAACAGG
rnacentral:rRNA from 1 species